UACGGAGGGUGCAAGCGUUGUCCGGAUUUAUUGGGCGUAAAGAGCUCGUAGGCGGCCGUCCACGUCGGGUGUGAAAGCUCGGGGCUCAACCCUGAGAGGCCAUUCGAUACGGGACGGCUAGAGGCAGGUAGGGGAGAUUGGAAUUCCUGGUGUAGCGGUGAAAUGCGCAGAUAUCAGGAGGAACACCGGUGGCGAAGGCGGAUCUCUGGGCCUUGCCUGACGCUGAGGAGCGAAAGCUGGGGGAGCGAACAGG
rnacentral:rRNA from 1 species